GGAAGUUGAUUUUAACUCAGCAACAGAUAUUAGUGAGAAAGAAAGUACUCAUACAGCAGCUGUUUCCCCAAAGACUUACAGCGAUUUACAAACGGUUCGGGAAGUGGAAUUUAAUCUAAAAUUACCAGACAUAAUUUAUGAGGUAUAAAAAACCAAAUAAAUAGCAGAUUUCUAAA